GACGAACGCUGGCGGCGCGCCUAACACAUGCAAGUCGAACGGAGCUGAGAGAAGCUUGCUUUUCUUAGCUUAGUGGCGAACGGGUGAGUAACGCGUGAGUAACCUGCCCUGGAGUGGGGGACAACAGUUGGAAACGACUGCUAAUACCGCAUAAGCCCACGAUCCGGCAUCGGCUUGAGGGAAAAGGAUUUAUUCGCUUCAGGAUGGACUCGCGUCCAAUUAGCUAGUUGGUGAGGUAACGGCCCACCAAGGCGACGAUUGGUAGCCGGACUGAGAGGUUGAACGGACACAUUGGGACUGAGACACGGCCCAGACUCCUACGGGAGGCAGCAGUGGGGGAUAUUGCACAAUGGGGGAAACCCUGAUGCAGCGACGCCGCGUGGAGGAAGAAGGUUUUCGGAUUGUAAACUCCUGUCGUUAGGGACGAUAAUGACGGUACCUAACAAGAAAGCACCGGCUAACUACGUG
rnacentral:rRNA from 1 species